rnacentral:rRNA from 1 species
CGAUCUCGAAAACCUGUCCCAGUUCGGACUGGAGUCUGCAACCCGACUCCACGAAGUUGGAUUCGCUAGUAAUCGCGCAUCAGCCAUGGCGCGGUGAAUACGUUCCCGGGCCUUGUACACACCGCCCGUCAAGCCAUGGGAGCCGGGGGCGCCUGAAGUCCGGGACCGCGAGGACCGGCCUAGGGCGAAACUGGUGACUGGGGCUAAGUCGUAACAAGGUAAC